rnacentral:misc_RNA from 1 species
UCCGGUUUGUCACCGGCAGUCUCGUUAAAGUGCCCAACUGAAUGUAGCAACUAAUGGCAAGGGUUGCGCUCGUUGCGGGACUUAACCCAACAUCUCACGACACGAGCUGACGACAGCCAUGCAGCACCUGUGUCCAGGUUCCCUUUCGGGCACACUCCCAUCUCUGAGAGCUUCCUGGCAUGUCAAGGGUAGGUAAGGUUUUUCGCGUUGCAUCGAAUUAAUCCACAUAAUCCACCGCUUGUGCGGGUCCCCGUCAAUUCCUUUGAGUUUUAGCCUUGCGGCCGUACUCCCCAGGCGGGGUGCUUAAUGCGUUAGCUUCGGCACGGAUGGGGUCGAUGUCCACCCACACCUAGCACCCAACGUUUACGGCUAGGACUAC